rnacentral:rRNA from 1 species
GAUGAACGCUAGCUACAGGCUUAACACAUGCAAGUCGAGGGGUAGCAGGGUAGCAAUACCGCUGACGACCGACGCACGGGUGAGUAACACGUAUCCAACCUUCCCAUUACUCAGGGAUAGCCUUUCGAAAGAAAGAUUAAUACCUGAUGGUACUUUAUUAGGGCAUCCUAGUGAAGUUAAAGAUUUAUCGGUAAUGGAUGGGGAUGCGUUCCAUUAGAUAGUUGGUGAGGUAACGGCUCACCAAGUCUUCGAUGGAUAGGGGUUCUGAG